ACUGUUGGGCGCGACGUAGCGUUGCCCCUGUGGUAACUGAGAUGCUAACAGAGGGGUGAGUAUGGAAUCCACGUAUGCAGUCAACCCCUGCAAAGCUUUCAACAGUUCUCCUCCCAUUUUGGUGAACAGUGCAGAUUUGUGAUCAUUGAAGACUGUAAGGAGUACUUGCCAGUCUCCUGGCGCAAUGUGAUGAAAUGUCAGGUCCCUCAGGUUGGUGAGGAUCUUGUCCCAGGUGGCCUUAAUCUUGAGAUCAAUAGCACGUUCAAUCUCUGCAGUGGAUGGUACAGGUGUGGUUUCUGUCUCCAUUUCCUGCUCCUUGAUGAGGUCAUCUCUGAAAUGUUUGAGCUGGCGCGUAGCAUAUGACCUUGCUGUUUUGGUUGGAGCUUUAUCCAGGAACAGAUUGAGGUCGUCAAUAGAGGCCGGAGUAAAGUCAGCCACGUCCUGCUUCCAGGCUUCUAGUUGUUUGUCAGUUUUGAUUUUUGUGAGGUCACGGACCUCGGAUGUGAUAAUCAAGUAUAUUUUGGUUUUAAAUGAUUUAUCAAAUUUGUAUUGUCUGAUCGAUGAUUUGAUAUACUUGAAGGUUGUGAGGCCCUUUUCCACACACUCCAUAUCAUCACAGUCUACAAGUUCUUCUUGAACGGCCAUGAUGGAUUCCAUGGUUUUUAUCAGGUCUUCUCGUCCAGGGAUGUCAGCUAGUCCCAUCAGACUGUUUAGGGAGUUGAAGAAAGUGUUUGAGAGAUGGUUGUGAGAUCUGGCAUGGAUGCUGCUCAGUGCUUCGUUGAUUAAGGAGUUGGUGAUUUGGAUCAGAGACAGAUUCAUAGCUGCGAGUGAGAGCUGCCCCUGUUCUGUUUUUGUGGCAGCUUGCAGCUGGGGGAUUACUUCUGGUAAGGUCCUGAUGUUUAUUUUCUGUAGCAAUGAUUCUAUGUAGGAUGUUGAUGUUGUCAGGGUCGUGACUUGGGAUUGAAUUUCAACCAGCCUGGGGUCUGAUGCCUGUGCCAAGACAGUAGCAUUUUUUAUGUAAUCUGAUAAGGUAUUUAUGAGGGCAGGUGAGGCGGCCUUGUCCUGUAUUGCCUUGAGCGUCUGGUUAAUUUCACUCAGAAUCUUGUCCAGGGAUUCAGAGUCUGCCAUUUUCUUUUUGAGGUCGUUUAAGUGGCUGGAUGUUUUCUGGAAGAUGUCCAGGACAUGCACUGGUUCCCUGAAUGCACGCUCGGGCCAUGUCUCAUCAAUAAUCUUUGACAGCUCUCUGCCAAUGUAAGACAAUUGUUGUUGACUACUGUCAAUUUCUGGAGUUCUGAUUUCUGCCCUCUCCACACAGGCGUUGAUGACUGUGAGCAAGGUAGUGACAUUUUUCAGUAGCGUCCUCACUGGGGGCACGAAGGUUGUUUCUAUAGCAUUUUCUGAGGGAAUGUUGCUGAUUAAUUCUGAAAGGGUCUCCACGGUGUCCUUUUCGAUGGCCUUGACAGCCUCCUGGAUAGCACUUGAAAGUAGUGGUGUGCGGGUUUCUGUUUCUAGAUAAAUGGGCCCCAGGGAGGCGGGUGGAUCGGUGUUAUUUAAAACUGAAAGCAUCAAAGCCUUGAAUCUGGCAUCCUGCUCACUUGUUAGAGCCAUGUUGUUUGAGACCACCCUUUUUAGGUCCUGUACAGUCGAGACCAGAUUAUUGGCCUCUUCUACCGAGCACACACAAAAAAAAUCUUGGGGGAAGGACUCGGUGAAGGUCGUGAUGAUAUCCUUUAUGUCAAGGCUACUUUUGCUUAUCUCCAGGGCGCGGGUGAGAUUUUUACAGUGGAGUAGGAUUUUUUGGAGGUCCGUCGCGCGGUUAGCGUGCAUGGCGGGUAGGCACGCGCAUACUUUGGCCUGGACAUGGUCUGCGAGGUUUGGGUCUGAUAUGAGAUUAUUUUUUAGCAGGGUGAACAGUUUUUCAAUUUGGAGGUUUGAAUUAAUUAACAGUUUGAUAUCAUCAUUUUUAAUUUGUAGCUGCUUGGACCACGCCAUUAGAUAAUUCAGAACAUUCAAGGCCUCGGUGGGAGUGUAGUCGCUGUCUGAAACCACUCCAAUCUCUAGUACCUGUUGGAGGACAUUCUUGAGCUGAUGGAGAGCCCUGGUCAGGCGAUAUGAUUCUCCAGUAUCAGUGUCUACUAAUGCGGGGAAUGAUGGCACAUGGCCAGGCAGAGUCAGGGAAUUUAAAAGCUGGUCCACGGCAGCCAGGUUGGGGAGGGUGACGCUUGGGAGGGACGUCCCAGACCUGUCUGGCUCGGCCUCCCUGUCGCCCUCGCUCUCGUCCUCCAUAUCAUCGUCCCCAGUAAGAUCGAUGACGUCAUCGUCCAUCGUUAAGUCAAUUAUGUCUGGAGAGGGUAGAGGGUGUGUCAUUUUCUCUGGAGGGGUGCGCCCAGAUUCUUUCCUCUUUUUGUUGGCAUCAGUCCACUCCUCCCCACAGCUCAUAGGAUACCUCUUCCUCUUUGCCUUUGACAUGUAUUUCAAGAGGGAGCCCACUUCUGGGUCAGGCGACGAUGACGCCUGUGGUGACGAACAGAAACUCUGGUUGGUGGUUGGUAGGUCAUAUUCUUCCAAGAUUAUUUUUGAACCAUGUAAAUCAGAAAAGGAGAUGACUUUAUAGUGAGACAUGAUGUAAUUUUUGGGAGAAAUGUGUCCUGGUACAAAAUAUAGGAAGCACGCAGUAUAUUCGCGGGACACGCCCCCGACAUAUUUUAUCAGAGCAUCUGGAUCAGACGUGCUGAGUACGUGGGCUGGACUCUCAGGAAUGUCCUUUAGACAGUGUGGAUCAAACAUGGUGUACCUGCCCCCCUGGAUGAUUAUGGCCCCAGAUUUUUGUCCACAGAUGUACAAAAUAUACUGGAUAGUGUUUGAAUAAUUGGCCGUCAGCAGGUCACGCAGGGACGUGAUGCAGGAGUCAGAAAUGUCAGCUGGCAUGCCAAGCAGGCCAAACAUUUCAGCAGAGGUAUAGAUGAACCCAGACCACUUUCUUGUUUGGACAUAGCAAGGCACGUGGUCCAGCUGGGCAUAUUGGCCAGGAGAUAAGAGGCCCAAUUUUCUCAGAUUGCUGUCUAACUCUGCCCCAAACUUUAAAACUUUAUUAAGGUCGUGGGUCUCGGUUAUGGGGGCUUCAUUGUUGAAGUAGGAAGACAUCAGGUAUAUGAUACAGUUGCUAAGACACUGAGCCCCUGCAUUUUCUCCAAAUUUACAAUCUGCCUGAUUGGUUGAGGCUGUACCUUCGAUGCGAAACCCAGCCAAAGAAGCAGGCAGGGCCAUUAUGAUAGCAGUUUUAUUAUGUCAUGAAUUUUUACAAUAGUGUAGGGGCACUCUGCGUGCUCGGCGGUGUAGGUUUGUUGUGUAAAUAUUUGCCAGUUAACAUCCAGGGGUAUUCUGUCAUAAGUGCUGGAAUAUUUUUUCAGUUGGGGUGGAUGUUUCUCACCACGGGCAGCGUUUUGGCUAAAAAUCUGGGGGUAGGUAGAAUAUAGCAUGGUUAGGUCUUCAUCUGUGGGGUUUCCCCCAGCCUGGGUCAUUGACGUGUCUGUGGGUGGAGCCAUCAGAUUUACUGGAAUUUCUUUAAGAUUUUUGAUAAUUUCCACAUUUCCAGCCGAUGCCGCCUUUAAGAUUGUGGGGGUAAUGAUUUCCUGGGAAAACAGGUCAUGAAACCUUUUUCUUAAGCAACUUGAACAUCCUUUCGAGAGAAGGGAUAGUCCAGAGCUAAUUCUGGAGAGUAUGCCACUGAAGGACUGUUUGAGUUGGUUCCAAGGUUCGGUGUCAAAUUCUAUCCCCAACUCAUGCUGUUUAUAUGCCUCUAGGUCUUGAAGAAGUGAGAGCACCGUGCUGUAUUCCCCCCUGAGUUCACCCUCCAGAUCUGUUAUCUCCAUCAGGAGCUGACUGUGAUCCUUUUCCACCUGGCUAAUCAGACUCUUGAGGGUCUCCAAGUGAACUUCCAGAAUCUGUCCACUGGAGGACAGUAUGGUGAAUUGAUGGGUUAGGGGGUGAUAGUUAUAUUUGGUGUGACAUAAAAUUGAGCCCAGACGUAAGAUGUUUCUGCCCCUCAACAAAAGGUGUUCGACCUUGGGGAUGAUGGCCGUGAUAUAAUCUACAGAAUUGAUAUAGGAUGCGCCAGUGUCUAGUACAAAUAAGUAGAGGAUUAGAUCCUGGGGUAUAGAAAAUGUCUGGUUAAUUUUGUUGAUCUUUUUCUUUAGAUCCAGGGCAUGGUCCAAGAGAUUCUUCAUGGCAGAAGGUUUAUUGGUCCCGUUGAUGAUGUCGAGCAGCUCAAAGUAGAACAUGCCCAGCGGUCUGCGGAUCUCCUGCAGCUGGGGCGUGUCGGUGAUAGCGAAGCUCAGCAGCCAUCUUAUUUGGAAGAGGGCCCGGUUUCUUGACGUCUUUCUGGAAAAUAUCCCCUGUAUGGUGGGACCAACGAUGUGUCUGAUGAAGUACUUGUAAAACAUUUUAUGGGAGACCAUGGCAGGCUCGUAGGAUAAGUCCCCGACAGGCAUUCUUUUACAGUAGGCCGCGACCCUCUCUUCGGAAACCUGGUGCUCGCAAGAGGGUUCCAUCAGUGGAUUCUGGGUGAUGAGGACAAUGCCCCAAUUCCUGUUUACCCAUGAAAAAAAUAAAGUUCUCAUGAUAUCUGA
rnacentral:lncRNA from 1 species